rnacentral:rRNA from 1 species
AGUGAACGCUGGCGGUAGGCCUAACACAUGCAAGUCGAACGGCAGCACAGUAAGAGCUUGCUCUUACGGGUGGCGAGUGGCGGACGGGUGAGGAAUACAUCGGAAUCUACUUUUUCGUGGGGGAUAACGUAGGGAAACUUACGCUAAUACCGCAUACGACCUACGGGUGAAAGCAGGGGAUCUUCGGACCUUGCGCGAUUGAAUGAGCCGAUGUCGGAUUAGCUAGUUGGCGGGGUAAAGGCCCACCAAGGCGACGAUCCGUAGCUGGUCUGAGAGGAUGAUCGGCCACACUGGAACUGGGACACGGUCCAGACCCCUACGGGAGGCAGCAGUGGGAAAUUUUGGACAAUGGGCGCAAGCCUGAUCCAGCCAGACCGCGUGGGUGAAGAAGGCCUUCGGGUUGUAAAGCCCUUUUGUUGGGAAAGAAAAGCAGCAGGUUAAUACCCCGCUGUUCUGACGGUACCCAAAGAAUAAGCACCGGCUAACUUCGU